GAGGAUUAAAUCUCUUGACUAGUUAUAUCUUUCUCCCUUAUUAGAACCUGCUUGUUUGCAUGAUCUCCUACUCUUUUUACUUUCAAAAACUAUAUGAUCUAAACAUCAUAUUUUUGUGUUUCAUUUGUGUAUUUUAAUUGACAGCCUUUUAAUUUUAACAAAAAAAAAAAAAAAAAAAUCUGAUAACAGAAGGUAGUCGCAGACUCGGAGUGAGUGGCAUUCUUAAAUCAUAUGAUACUUUCCACCAAAAGGAAUAUUAUUAUGAUACUUGGCUAGCUUCAAUAUGGG
rnacentral:lncRNA from 1 species